AUGAAAUCCUUGAGUGUUUCACUAGUGCUCCUGUGGCUCCAGCUAAACGGGGUGAGCAGCCAGCAGAAGGUGCAGCAGAGCCCAGAAUCCCUCAUUGUCUCAGAGGGAGCCAAAGCCUCUUUCAACUGCACUUUCAGUGAUAGUACUUCUGAUUAUUUCUGGUGGUUCAGACAGUAUUCUGGGAAAAGCCCCAAGGCCCUGAUGUCCAUCUUCUCCAAUGGUGACAAGCAAGAAGGCAGAUUCACAGUUCACCUCAAUAAAACCAGCCUGCAUGUUUCCCUGCACAUCAAUGACUCCCAACCCACUGACUCUGCUGUCUACCUCUGUGCAGUGAGUGCACAGUCAUCCCCAGCCUCCUGCAGGCUGCACACAAACCUACUGUACUGAGAAGACCUGAGAUAGAGCACACACUACCCAGUGGAGACAUUCUGCUUCUAUCCUGUAUGCAAUAGGAAUUAAGAGUAAGAAUAGAGAGGGCUUCAUUGAUUGGGAACGCUUUUUCACAUUUUGAUAUUAAGCAAUCCUGAAGGGAAAUGUACACUUGGUUUGCUUGAAAUAUUUUCCACUUUUCUCUUUUCACUA